GCGGAUGGCUGGAUGAUCGCGGCACCGGACUUGAUCUGGGGUCGAGGAAAGUCCGGACUCCACAAAGCAACGGUGCCGGGUAACGCCCGGCGGGGGCAACCCCAGGGAAAGCGCCACAGAGAACAGACGGCCUUGCGUGCAAGGUCACGGUGAAACGGUGGGGUAAGAGCCCACCGCGCGAGCGGCAACGUAAGCGGCACGGCAAGCCCCACCAGGAGCAAUGCCAAAUAGGGACCUCGCGUGGGCAACCACGGGGUGGCUUUAACCCCAGAUGGUCCGGGUUGGCAGCUAGAGGGUGACUGGCAACAGGCACUUUAGAUGAAUGAUCAUCCAUAGGGGGAACCCUAGGACAGAAUCCGGCUUAUAGGCCAUCCGUGCGC
rnacentral:RNase_P_RNA from 2 species